UUGCUUUUUCCUUCUUGAUCAUUGAGGCAGGCCUUAUGUGGAUUAAAAGAUGCAAUGCACACUCAGAAUACAGUGUUAUUUAAGCGAAUUGAAUAUAUUCAUUCAACUUUACCAUUGGCAUGUGAUAAAUGCAAAGAUACAUACAUAUAUACUCAAUGAUGGAGAACUUGCUUUUGCUCUUACCAUAUAUCAUCACAAACAUUAAAAUUAAACUGCACAAUAUUUCACUAAAGAAUUUACGAGAGUUGCUACAAAUUAAACUUCUAAAAUAGAUUUUCAUGUUCUUACGUCAUCAACGUCAUUCCCAGUAGUGAAGUAUGAAUUAUUAUAAUUUAAAAUAUUUUUUAUUGACCAAGGAUGUAUUUAAUUUACUAUAAUUGCACUGUUGUCAUAUUAUCCAUUCAUUACUGUGAGAUAAACACAUUGCAGUUACAUGGAAA